CCUACGGGAGGCAGCAGCAAGGAAUUUUGCGCAAUGGGCGAAAGCCUGACGCAGCAACGCCGCGUGGGGGAUGAAGGCCUUCGGGUUGUAAACCCCUUUUGCGAGGGAAGAAGAUCUGACGGUACCUCGCGAAUAAGCCACGGCUAACUACGUGCCAGCAGCCGCGGUAAUACGUAGGUGGCAAGCGUUGUCCGGAUUUACUGGGCGUAAAGCGCGCGCAGGCGGAUUGGUCAGUCUGGGGUGAAAUCUCACGGCUCAACUGUGAGCGGUCCCUGGAUACUGCCAGUCUUGAGGGGUCUAGAGGAGAGCGGAAUUCCCGGUGUAGUGGUGGAAUGCGUAGAUAUCGGGAAGAACACCAGUGGCGAAAGCGGCUCUCUGGGGAUCACCUGACGCUGAGGCGCGAAAGCGUGGGGAGCGAACCGGAUUAGAUACCCGGGUAGUCCACGCCGUAAACGAUGAGUACUAGCUGUCGGGGGUAUCGACCCCUCCGGUAGCGCAGCUAACGCGUUAAGUACUCCGCCUGGGGACUACGGCCGCAAGGCUAAAACUCAAAGGAAUUGACGG
rnacentral:rRNA from 1 species